rnacentral:rRNA from 1 species
UUAGAGCAGAUAUCACCUUAUCCGGGAUCCUCAUAUGGAUAACUGCGGAAAUACUGGAGCUAAUACAUGCAACUAUACCCCAACGCAAGGCGGGGUGCAAUUAUUAGAACAGACCAAACGUUUUCGGACGUUGUUUGUUGACUCUGAAUAAAGCAGUUUACUGUCAGUUUCGACUGACUCUAUCCGGAAAGGGUGUCUGCCCUUUCAACUAGAUGGUAGUUUAUUGGACUACCAUGGUUGUUACGGGUAACGGAGAAUAAGGGUUCGACUCCGGAGAGGGAGCCUUAGAAACGGCUACCACGUCCAAGGAAGGCAGCAGGCGCGAAACUUAUCCACUGUUGAGUAUGAGAUAGUGACUAAAAAUAUAAAGACUCAUCCUUUUGGAUGAGUUAUUUCAAUGAGUUGAAUACAAAUGAUUCUUCGAGUAGCAAGGAGAGGGCAAGUCUGGUGCCAGCAGCCGCGGUAAUUCCAGCUCUCCUAGUGUAUCUCGUUAUUGCUGCGGUUAAAAAGCUCGUAGUUGGAUCUAGGUUACGUGCCGCAGUUCGCAAUUUGCGUCAACUGUGGUCGUGACUUCUA